rnacentral:misc_RNA from 1 species
GUGAAUCAUCAAAUCUUUGAACGCAAAUUGCACUCCCUGGUAUUCCGGGGAGUAUGCCUGUUUGAGGGUCGUUAGAAUAAAAAAUCGAUUCGGCGCUCUUUUUUGUAGGUGUGAUCGCGUCGGAAUUGAGCCGUCUUUCAAAUGUUAAUUCAUGUCAAAGGAGCUUAAAAUUCAUCCAUCCUGUACGACUAAAGCGUAUUUAAUAUCAACUUUGAUUAAGAACGCGCGAGCACGUACACUCUCAUGUCGUACAUUUGACUUUGCUUCGUCAGGAUCAUUCGUAUACGCUACUCAA